UACGUAGGGGGCAAGCGUUAUCCGGAUUUACUGGGUGUAAAGGGAGCGUAGACGGUUAUGUAAGUCUGGAGUGAAAGCCCGGGGCCCAACCCCGGGACUGCUUUGGAAACUGUGUAACUGGAGUACAGGAGGGGCAGGCGGAAUUCGUGGUGUAGCGGUGAAAUGCUUAGAUAUCACGAAGAACCCCGAUUGCGAAGGCAGCCUGCCGCAGCGUUACUGACGCUGAAGCUCGAAAGCGCGGGUAUCGAACAGG
rnacentral:rRNA from 1 species